AGCUUGCUGCUUCGCUGACGAGUGGCGGACGGGUGAGUAAUGUCUGGGAAACUGCCUGAUGGAGGGGGAUAACUACUGGAAACGGUAGCUAAUACCGCAUAACGUCGCAAGACCAAAGAGGGGGACCUUCGGGCCUCUCGCCAUCGGAUGUGCCCAGAUGGGAUUAGCUAGUAGGUGGGGUAACGGCUCACCUAGGCGACGAUCCCUAGCUGGUCUGAGAGGAUGACCAGCCACACUGGAACUGAGACACGGUCCAGACUCCUACGGGAGGCAGCAGUGGGGAAUAUUGCACAAUGGGCGCAAGCCUGAUGCAGCCAUGCCGCGUGUAUGAAGAAGGCCUUCGGGUUGUAAAGUACUUUCAGCGGGGAGGAAGGUGCUGAGGUUAAUAACCUCAGCAAUUGACGUUACCCGCAGAAGAAGCACCGGCUAACUCCGUGCCAGCAGCCGCGGUAAUACGGAGGGUGCAAGCGUUAAUCGGAAUUACUGGGCGUAAAGCGCACGCAGGCGGUCUGUCAAGUCGGAUGUGAAUCCCCGGGCUCAACCUGGGAACUGCAUUCGAAACUGGCAGGCUAGAGUCUUGUAGAGGGGGGUAGAAUUCCAGGUGUAGCGGUGAAAUGCGUAGAGAUCUGGAGGAAU
rnacentral:rRNA from 1 species